CGCUUUCUGUACUGCGCUGGUCACGCUAUCAGCUGCUGAAUGGAGGAUGCUGUUUCCUGAAGGAGGACAGCAAGAGCAUUAGAAGCUAGUUCUGCUGAACUACAGUGACAGCCCCCUGCAGGGGAAUGGAUUUUACGGGCUUCCCUAUGCACUAAGAGGAGGCAGAUGGACUUAACUUACUAUUGCUCAGUUGCAUCAAGCACUACAGGAGCCAAGGUGUGGUGUUGGUCAUGGAAAGUAAUCACUGUGACAGAAUUGUGAGCAGACUAGCAUGAACAGGGCUUUACAAGUUAUUUCCCAAGGUAACACCUGACUGUUUCUGUCCUCAAGAUAUUCCUCUUGGUAAAUGAAGAGUUAUUGCCUAAGCUGCAUUCAAGUCAGGUGCUCCCAAGAAGGAACAGGCCAAAGGGAAGGAAUGGGAAGAGGGUGAAAGGACUGAAGGUACGGGGCGGGGGUGGGGGGGUGGCGCACAAGAAAAUAUCCUACUCCUCCAGCUCCUUAGACAUACUACCCACAGCUUAGCCACCAGAGGUUAGAGAAAAGAGGGGGUAGGGCAUUUGAAACUCCAUAGCCAGGAGUAUCUGCAUCAAACCAGGGGGAUUUUAGAACUAGCUACCAGUAUAUAGCCAGGAUUGUUUUUUCCCCCCAUCAGAACUGACCCUCAUGAUGCCCUCAAAGUUAGACACAUUUGUGUUUCUAGAAUGAAUCUGCUUUGCAUGAGCCAUACUGCUUUCCUGUCAUGACUUAAAAGUUAAUCUUGUACAAGACGUCAGAUCAGCACGGCAACCAGUUUUAUAUGAUACUGUUUAGCCAACGGUUGUUAUGAAGGAGGUAAAAGAUCUAUACAUUGAAAACUGUAAGACACUGCUGAAAGAAACUGAAAGACAGAAAGACAUAGAAGGAUAUUCCAUACUCAUGGAUUGGAGGAAUUAACAUUGGUAAAAUGGCCAUACUACCGAAGGGAAUUUAUAGGUUAAAUGCAAUCCUUAUCAAAAUCCCAAUGAUGUUUUUCACAGAAAUAGAACAAAAAUUCUAAAAUUCAGGAGUUCCCGUCAUGGCUCAGUGGUCAAGAGGCACAUGAAAAGAUGUUCAGUAUCACAACUUAUUAGGAAAGUUUUACUUUUUAAAAUGAGGAUGCAGUUACUGUCUUGCAUUUAUAUGGACAUACGAUCUUUGUCUGCAUUUCUGAUAUUUCCUAGAGAUUAAACUGCUGGUUCAAAGGACACACACUUUUUGGAGGCUGUUGGUACAUGCUGAAAAUUGCUUCCUUGGAAGUCUCAUUCAGUGUUUCCAGACUGUUCUUUUGAGUGCAUGCUAUGUGCCAGUCACUGUUAUGUGGACAAACUGGCAGAAUGACUUUGAGGAAGGAUGUAUUUUAACUUUUCUGACCGUCAGUUUCCUCAUCUGUAACAUUUGCCUCAAGUGGCUGUUGUGGAAAUGAAGAUGACAAUAUAUACAAAAUGCCUGCAGCUGCUCAGUGGACGUUUGUCCCUGCCCCUCCCUAAGGCCGUGUGUGUUCUGGGGAGUUCUGGGAAAAUUGCACAGACCCACUCAGCUCCUUGGCAUGUCUCCCUUUCUUCUGUCUUGGGGCUAAGUGUCUUGAAGCUCCCGGGAGACACUCAGAUCUUUGCAUACUUGCUGUGUGCAGCUCAAUAUGCUGCUCAGAGAGAGUUGAACACAUCCUCAUUGAACCAAGGCAUGUUUUGUAAAGUAAGAUGCCUAACUCAAAAGUUGGGGUGCAUCAUAUUGUGCUAAGUUAAAUAUGGAAAUAAAACAGUCUCCUGAAGCAGAGAGAACAGUAAUUCUCUCUAAAUAGGCAGGAAGCAUAUUAGCACCCAAAUUUAUUCAAGCAGUCUGAGAAGAGGCUGUCAACCACUGCAAAUAAAGUCAGCUACCUUUUGAAUUAGAAUAGGUUUGAGAAUAGAUCUUUGAGAAUAGAUCAGAGACAAGUCUUACUUCAUUGAUGUUGAAUUUGCAUCAGUUCCACUUAGUAUGUGCUUUUAAAAAAUACUGUGCUAGCAUCUUUUAUGUUAAGAGAUUGAGAAGACCUUCCUGAGAGCAAUUUGAGAUAGAGCUAUACAUUGUUUUCAAUCAUUGUUUGGAAAAACAAAGGAAAUUUAAAUGUAUAGGAAAAAUGAGAGAGAAAAAUAAGGUUAUAUUAAAAAGUAAGGAGAGAAGAGAAAGAAGAGGAGGAAAGAUUUUUUAAAAGCACACAAACCAUACCAAUAACUAUAAAGCUAAUUUCCUUAUAUUAUCCUAAACUUCAGGUUAUAUCUGAUAAUAAAAAUUCUUAAUGCUGUAACUAGUAAAGAGGCAAUUUAAAUAGAUUUUUCAUCAGCUAUUUCCUACAUCAAAUACAUAUAUAGAUAUUUGAAAUGCGAAAUACUCAUCCAGUUUAGGAUUUUAGGAAAAUCAUCUAAAAAAUAAAUGGUCGAAUAAACUUACAUCAGUCUAUACUCAGAAUUGAAUAAACCUGGUCAUCUCCGGAUACUGUUUUAAAACUGAAAUCUGGUGAUAGUUUUGUGUGGAUUACUUGUAUCGUAUAAUCAAUGUAACCAUUUAGGAAUAACUGUACAAUAAAGCCCCAUUUAUCCAAACUAACUUAAAGGAAAACCAAUUACGGUGAAAAAAAUAAAACAGAUUUGAGUUUUAAUACAAAAAACUCAACAAAAUUGGCAGGGAGAUCACUCAUAUGAAACCUGUUAAUAGGCCAGGACCAUUAGUAACUCUCAUAUCAUAUACCCAAAGUGUCCAAUAAUUUAUUCCUUGAGUAGAUUAAAUUCCUGUUCUCAUCUUGUCUAUAGUAUUCAUUUUUUUCUUUUUUUCUUUAGCAAAACUAUUUUCAUGAGUAGACGUAAGGGUCACUUGAAUCUGGUCCAGUGUUAGUAACAUUCAGAUUAAUUUUACUGGAAAAAAUCUAUGGGAUUCACCCAAGAUGUUUUUUCUUUCCUUUUUCUAAACUUCCAAUCUUUACCACUCAGCAUCUCUACCACUAGAAGCCAUAUUAGCAAAAGAAAAGUCACAUGGAAACUUGGUUCUGUGACCAGAGGGUCCCUUUUCUGUCCUAAAGGGGCUCUGAACCACUUACAUGCAUUUUGCUUCCUGAGAUGAGCACACACUUCCACCCCCACUGGUGGUAAUUCAGUUACAUGGUAAUGCUUCUGAGGAGGUUCUGCUUAGGACUGUGACUUGCAUUAAGCAUUUUAUAAAUGUGUGGUCAUUUAAAAAUGAUGAUAUCACCUUUACAAACAGUGAUUAAAUGCAAAGGCCUACCUGGUGAAACAAGUCGGUUCUUAAUCACAGACUCCAUUAAUUAUCCGAGAGCUUAAGUAAAUUACCAAGUUCUUUCCCAUUACAUUGACUAAUCAAUAUCAAUCACACAGUUGCAUCUCAAUGUUGGACAGCCUCUAGGAUCCCCCUUUAAGAUGGGAGAUUCUUCCAAAAGGUUAAAUUUCAUUGGUCCUUUUGUGGUAGUGACUAAUCAGAUAAAUUCUGUUACAAAUUUAGGUCGUGUUACAUCAAGCCUUUGCAAAAGGAGGAGUUGUUAGCCCAUGCUGGCCACAGAUGCAGUGUGAACCUCAGCCAGACACUCACAGAAACAUCUACAGUUCACUGAAUGGUGACUAUGUGCAGGUGCUAUGGUAAAUUGUCAACUGUCAAAUUCUUCAAAGGAAUGUAUUUUUAUCCUAUUUUACAAUUAAGGAAAGGAAUGUGCUCAGGGAAUAGAGAGAGCUUGCCUAAGGUCACCCAGAUCUUGACCCUGAAGCUUUUUUUUUUUUUUGCUUUUUAGAGCCUCA